rfam:Triticum urartu cultivar G1812 contig628028, whole genome shotgun sequence.
GAUGUACUCCCUCCGUCCCAAAAUACUUGUCAUCAAAAUAGAUAAAAAAAGAUGUAUAUAUAACUAAAAUACAUCUAGGUACAUUCCCUUUUGUCCAUUUUUGUGACAAAUAUUUCUGCACGGAGGGAGAAGAUG